AGCCUAUGGGAGGCAGCAGUAGGGAAUCUUCCACAAUGGACGAAAGUCUGAUGGAGCAACGCCGCGUGAGUGAAGAAGGGUUUCGGCUCGUAAAGCUCUGUUGGUAGUGAAGAAAGAUAGAGGGAGUAACUGGCCUUUAUUUGACGGUAAUUAAUUAGAAAGGCACGGCUAACUACGUGCCAACAGCCGCGGUAAUACGUAGGGGGCAAGCGUUGUCCAGAUUUAUUGGG
rnacentral:rRNA from 1 species